AAAAGGAAGCGUUGUGUCUUAAGCAAAAAGAUAUGCAGGUACGGCAGGAAGACGGUUUACAGAAACGAUCGCCAGGGAUGUCGACAGUGCUACCGAGUAUGCAAAAGCAAACCUGUUUGCAGAAGGAAGCGUUGUAGAUCGACUAGACAGAUAUGCAGGUAUGGCAGGAAGAAGGUUUACAGAAACGAUCGCCGGGGAUGUCGACAGUGUUACCGAGUAUGCAAAAGCAAACCUGUUUGCAGAAGGAAGCGUUGUAGAGCGACUAGACAGAAAUGCAGGUACGGCAGGAAGAAGGUUUACAGAAACGA